GCCUGGGUGGCGGAACUGGUAGACGCAAGGGACUUAAAAUCCCUCGGGGUUCGCCCCGUGCGAGUUCGAUUCUCGCCCUAGGCACCA
rnacentral:tRNA from 1 species